rnacentral:pre_miRNA from 1 species
UCACCUCGGCAGGCUGACUGGCCUCCGGGCUGGGCUGGGCGAAUAUCUCUCCCAAAGGCUCACCCUUAAGCGCAACUAGGAGC